AGUUAAAUUAAGAACAACACAAAUAAACAAGCAUCUAGUCGAUCGAUCUCAUCUCACUAUCCAAGUGGCCAAGCCCAUGUACAAUGCACAUCAACAGCAAUUCAAACGCUCGCUUACUGACGGAUAGUAUAGAACAAUAUAGAGAUAUUUAUAUACGAAUAAUCUCGAGUGGACAUGCGGCUACGCUGCCGUUAUCCAGUCCACACACUAUCUCGUGAUUCGUGCACUUUUAAUACGAGCUCGUUGUAUAAUGAAUGAGAACUCUAGUAUAACAAUCUGUAUCCUGCGUAUUCUCACGAAGCUGACACGCUCAGACGAUGGGGCCGCAGCGCAGCAACGCGGUGUCCAAUGGCUACUUGCAGCUGGCGCAACGGCUAGUUGCAUUCAUCUCCGUUUCCCAGUCUACAUAAACACCUCGCGCAAAUCAUAUUCGCACUCGUCCUCACUCAAAUCCUCGUUCGCCCGCCCCGCUCAACACCAUGUGUUCAUCCAAGUCACAGCUUAGCUCCACCCCUCCUGCGUCGCACCACACCGCCAACCAGGUUCCCCCUCUACCUCUCAUCCGUUGCCCAGAGUGCAACGCCGGAUUCGUAGUGUGGUUUGUCUCUGGGACUGUAGAAAACCCAGGAAGGCACUUCUACAAGUGCGAAAGGCAUGGAUUCGGCCGCUGCAGGUUUUGGAAGUGGGAGAACAAGUACAUUCAGUACUUCAGCGCCCGUUGGGGACACCUCAUUUCACAUGCAUCAGUCCAUCGCCAUGUAUCUCUGCUUGAAGAAAACCAAGCAUGGCUGAAGAACAUCUUUGCGCUUGGCGUCGUCAACCUGGUGGUCAUGGCAAUGAUUUGCACGCUGAAGUUCUAAGAGCGCCUGAGUCGAUGUAGGUCACCGUAUGGUUGUAGCUAGCUGUUUUUCAGAGUGCUACGUGGUUUUAGCUGCCUGGUCGAUGUGUUUCGUGUCGUUGCAUCUUGAUGUAAGCACAGGGCCAAUCAAUAAUACACGCGAGCGUUUUCUUUUCA